rnacentral:tRNA from 1 species
GGUCCCGUAGCUCAACUGGCAGAGCAAUCGGCUCUUAACCGAUCGGUUGAAGGUUCGAGUCCUUCCGGGAUCA